UGACAUCAAAUAUUAUAUUGAAGAUAUAGCUGACGAUAUAACACUCCACAAUUUUUCACAGUGCCAGCUUGCAGCUGAAACUAGCUAGGUCACCCUAGUUGACUUGACUGUGCUGCGCCUUGGCACCAGCCUGAGAUGGUGGGACUGUUAGAGAGGAUGUUCUUCAAGGAGGCCACAUUCAUGGACAUGAGAGGCCUCUCAAAGGGAUAGCAUAUAAUGAAAGAAAUCUCCCGGUGAGGGAUUUACUCUUUUUCAAAGCACGGAGGGCUUGGACAUGAAUGCCCUAUACAGUAUGACUUAUUUCAAUGGAAUGACAUUUCCAAAAUGUCAAGAUUGUUUGGGAUUAGCAUCUGUUCUCACAUCAAAGACGCUGCAUAAUGAAUGGAGAGAAGUUGCAAUGGGACACAAAAAAGACCGUUUCAUUAAAAUGUGUCAUCUUACUGUCAACACCGGCCAUUUGA